GAUGAACGCUAGCGGCAGGCUUAACACAUGCAAGUCGAGGGGUAGAGGUUGCUUGCAACCUUGAGACCGGCGCACGGGUGCGUAACGCGUAUGCAACCUACCUUUUACAGAGGGAUAGCCCAGAGAAAUUUGGAUUAAUACCUCAUAGUGUAUGUCUUUCGCAUGUUAGACAUAUUAAAGUUCCAACGGUAAAAGAUGGGCAUGCGUCCUAUUAGCUAGAUGGUAAGGUAACGGCUUACCAUGGCUACGAUAGGUAGGGGUCCUGAGAGGGAGAUCCCCCACACUGGUACUGAGACACGGACCAGACUCCUACGGGAGGCAGCAGUGAGGAAUAUUGGACAAUGGGCGCAAGCCUGAUCCAGCCAUGCCGCGUGCAGGAAGAAGCAUCUAUGGUGUGUAAACUGCUUUUGUACAGGAAGAAACAUCCCGACGUGUCGGGACUUGACGGUACUGUAAGAAUAAGGAUCGGCUAACUCCGUGCCAGCAGCCGCGGUAACAC
rnacentral:rRNA from 1 species